AUUCCAGCUCCAAUAGCGUAUAUUAAAGUUGUUGCAGUUAAAAAGCUCGUAGUUGGAUUUCUGGCAGAGUGUCCUCCGUCCAGCAGUUCGUUUGGUUCGGAGCGCUCUACCAUCCUUCUGUUAACCUUUCCGGGAUUUACUUUUCGGACUGGGGCUCAGAUAUUUUACCUUGAGAAAAUUAGAGUGUUUCAGGCAGGCUAUUCGCCGGAAUACAUUAGCAUGGAAUAAUGGAAAAGGACUGCAACCUCUUCUGUUGGUCUGGGAGGCUGAAGUAAUGAUUAAUAGGGAUAGUUGGGGGCAUUAGUACUUUCCAGUCAGAGGUGAAAUUCUCCAAUUUGGUAAAGACUAACUUAUGCGAAAGCAUAUGCCAAGGAUGUUUUCAUCA
rnacentral:rRNA from 1 species